AGCAGCCGCGGUAAUUCCAGCUCCAAUAGCGUAUAUUAAAGUUGUUGCAGUUAAAAAGCUCGUAGUUGAACUUCGGGGUUUACCCAUUGGUCAGGCUUAAUUGUCUGUACUGGUGAGAUAAAUCUCUACCUUCUGAGGAACUUUCAUGCCAUUUAUUUGGUGUGAUUGGAAAUCAGGACUAUUACUUUGAAAAAUUAGAGUGUUUAAAGCAGGCUAACGUCUGAAUAUAUUAGCAUGGAAUAAUGAAAUAGGACGGCUUGGUUCUAUUUCGUUGGUUUCUAGGAUCACCGUAAUGAUUAAUAGGGAUAGUUGGGGGCAUUAGUAUUCAAUUGUCAGAGGUGAAAUUCUUGGAUUUAUUGAAGACUAACUACUGCGAAAGCAUUUGCCAAGGAUGUUUUCAUUAAUCAAGAACGAAAGUUAGGGGAUCGAAGACGAUCAGAUACCGUCGUAGUCUUAACCAUAAACUAUGCCGACUAGGG
rnacentral:rRNA from 1 species